UCUGGGCGCGAGGGCCCUUUACAAAACUUUUAAAGCAGCUUUCUUUCCCAGCGCGGCUCCUCUCCCUCCCUGCCACGCGCCGCCUCCGCGCGCCGCCUCGGCGCCGCUGGUCCCGCGGUCAUGAGAUGGUCUCCCGCGUGGCCCGCAGGGCCUGGUCACCCCAGGGGGGGCCCGCGCCUGGCUCCUCUGCGCCAGGCGCCUCUCUCGCCCCCCUCCCACCACGUUUUAGCUCUGUUUAUUUCGCCGGCGCAGCGGCUCGAGCCCCAGCCCUUCCCGUUCAUUGGCUCCGCCCGCGCCUGGCUCCUCUCCCUUUUGUUUCCCACUUUACGCCGUUCUCCCGAGGUUAAAUAAGACCAGACAAACCUAAAAUUCACAUCAAACUGCUUUUAAUUUUAAAAACAGCCUUUUUUCUUUCUUUUCGUCCCUGCGCCAUACGCCGCCCGCCAUAGCCGCCCAAAAGCCGUGGCUUUCACAGCGCGCCCAGCUCUGGCACGGCCGUGAGCCUUUCAAAACAAAGCCCACCUAACUUCACGCUGUGCCUCUCCCGCGGCCACACCCUGCCCCACACACGGGGCUCCUUACAACAAGCAAGCCAUGCCUCUGACUGCCUCUGCCGCUGCGCCGCCCCUCCGGGAUGCGGCCACCAUCUCUGCUGCCCACCUCGGCCGUCGCCCCGCCCCUCCGGGGCACAGCCACCGCCUUGGCCGCCGCGCCGCCCCUCCGGGAUGCGGCCACCCCCUCUGUCGCCCCGCCCCACGCGCGCGGGGCUCCGAGCAGCCAGCAAGCCGUGCCUCUGACUGCCUCUGCCGCCGCCCCGCCCCUCCGGGACGCGGCCACUCCCUCUGUCGCCCGCCUCGGCCGUCUCCCCGUCCCUCCGGGGGACCGAACGCGAGCUGCAGCUCCCAUUGACGCCAGGCGUUAACUGGGAUCACCACUCGGGGCCUCCAAGCCCCACCCCCUUACGCGAUCGCAGCAGAACGACGUCAUUUCCCUGCGCCGCUUAGCGCGUCACGAAUUCUGCCUUGCCACCUCAACGUCACCCUGAUAAAAUACCAUCUCAAAACCAAAGUCACCUUCCUAUCUACCUCACCUGGGUCCUUAAAUAUAAUAGUGCCAUGUCUCCUAAUAACAUUAUGUCUCUUUGUUUUUUCAGUCUGACAUACAUACAUUCACCAGUGAAGUUGUCCUGGCUAAAACACCUGGCAUCAGUGUCUACCUGGGCAUCAACCUUCAUCCCGUCAAACUCCCCUAGACCCCAAUACAGUGCCCUCAGCCAGCAGGAAGUAGUUACAGAGAGAGAUCUUCGCCCCUUUUCCUAAUAACCAGAAGACGGGAUAUGAAAGAGUUGCCGGCCCAGAUGAAACACUGUAGCCAGAAAAGGCUGCAGCUAAACUCCUCCCCCACCCUGCCCCCUAUGGACUUGAUUGUGAUUCUGUAUCCCCAUCCUUAAGGACCUGUGCGCCAAUGGGAUAUCUGUGCAUCCCUAAUGGCCUUUGGGGCACUGCCCUAAGCUUAAGCUAUUUAGAUCCCCCACGCCACGUGUCCGAGAGAGUUUUGCCAGAGGGAGUUCGCCGGAGAGAGUUCGCCAGAGAGAGAGAGAGACCACCCGCCCCAGGCGCAAUGCUGCGCCCGGGGCCGGCGGCGGGGGCCCCCUCCCCGCAUUCCCAGAAUAAAGCCACCGCUGACCACUA